GAUGAACGCUGGCGGCGUGCCUAAUACAUGCAAGUCGAGCGAACAGACGAGGAGCUUGCUCCUCUGACGUUAGCGGCGGACGGGUGAGUAACACGUGGAUAACCUACCUAUAAGACUGGGAUAACUUCGGGAAACCGGAUCUAAUACCGGAUAAUAUAUUGAACCGCAUGGUUCAAUAGUGAAAGACGGUUUUGCUGUCACUUAUAGAUGGAUCCGCGCCGCAUUAGCUAGUUGGUAAGGUAACGGCUUACCAAGGCAACGAUGCGUAGCCGACCUGAGAGGAUGAUCGGCCACACUGGAACUGAGACACGGUCCAGACUCCUACGGGAGGCAGCAGUAGGGAAUCUUCCGCAAUGGGCGAAAGCCUGACGGAGCAACGCCGCGUGAGUGAUGAAGGUCUUCGGGUCGUAAAACUCUGUUAUUAGGGAAGAACAAAUGUGUAAGUAACUAUGCACGUCUUGACGGUACCUAAUCAGAAAGCCACGGCUAACUACGUG
rnacentral:rRNA from 1 species